rnacentral:rRNA from 1 species
GACGAACGCUGGCGGCGUGCUUAACACAUGCAAGUCGAGCGGUAAGGCCCUUUCGGGGGUACGACGAGCGGCGAACGGGUGAGUAACACGUGGGUGACCUGCCCUCAGCUCUGGGAUAAAGCCCGGGAAACUGGGUCUAAUACCGGAUAUGACUCCAUGACGCAUGUUGUGGGGUGGAAAGCCUUGUGCGGCUGAGGAUGGGCCCGCGGCCUAUCAGCUUGUUGGUGGGGUGAUGGCCUACCAAGGCGACGACGGGUAGCCGGCCUGAGAGGGCGACCGGCCACACUGGGACUGAGAUACGGCCCAGACUCCUACGGGAGGCAGCAGUGGGGAAUCUUGCGCAAUGGGCGAAAGCCUGACGCAGCGACGCCGCGUGAGGGAUGACGGCC